ensembl:snRNA U6 U6 spliceosomal RNA
AUGCUCACUUCAGCAGCACAUGUACUAAAACUGGAAUGACGCAGAAAGAAUUAACAUGACCCCUGCACAAGGCGGUUACACAAAUUCAUGAAGCAUUCCAUACUUUU